rnacentral:rRNA from 1 species
CAAUAGCGUAUAUUAAAGUUGUUGCAGUUAAAAGCUCGUAGUUGAACUUUGGGCCCGGUUGGCCGGUCCGAUUUUUUCGUGUACUGGAUUUCCAACGGGGCCUUUCCUUCUGGCUAACCUUGAGUCCUUGUGGCUCUUGGCGAACCGGGACUUUUACUUUGAAAAAUUAGAGUGUUCAAAGCAGGCGUAUUGCUCGAAUAUAUUAGCAUGGAAUAAUAGAAUAGGACGUUUGGUUCUAUUUUGUUGGUUUCUAGGACCAUCGUAAUGAUUAAUAGGGACGGUCGGGGGCAUCAGUAUUUCGUUGUCAGAGGUGAAAUUCUUGGAUUUACGAAAGACGAACAACUGCGAAAGCACUUGCCAAGAGUGUUUUCAUUAAUCAAGAACGAAAGUUAGAGGAUCGAAGACGAUCAGAU